UCUCCGUAGGUGAACCUGCGGAGGGAUCAUUACUGAGCGAGGGUCUCCCGGCCCGACCUCCAACCCUGUGUGAACACAUCUUGUUGCUUCGGGGGCGACCCUGCCGCUUCGGCGGUGCGGCGCCCCCGGAGGCCAUCAAACCCUGCGUAACUAAGUCGUCGGAGUUUAAACAAAUUAAACAAAACUUUCAACAACGGAUCUCUUGGUUCGGGCAUCGAUGAAGAACGCAGC
rnacentral:misc_RNA from 1 species